GGAAGAAGUAGGGCAAGAUGAGAGGGAAAAGCCGAGAAAGCCAGGCCCCGCAGCAGGAGCGGGGAAACACCCGCCUGGAAUUGGCCGAGACCACGACUCCCGCGGUCCGAUGGCCCGGCCUCCCCACCCCCACGCGCCGCAAAGCCGCCCUCGCAGACACCUCCCGAAGCAGCUCGCAGCCCCGCGGGCGCCAGAACAACAUGAUGGUUCUCAACCAUGGCUGUACAUUAGAAGAAUCACCUAAGGGAACACUUAAAAAAAACCACAACUGAAGUCUUGCAGCCAUUGCUAGAAGCAUUUUUUAAGGCACUCAUUUGAGAAGUUCUUUGAAGAGCAUAUGCCUCAUUAUUUGGGAAUCACUUCAAAAACUGCAAGUACUCAUGUUGUUGAAGAUGGAUUGGGCUUUUUGAAGGAGACAAGAUGAUUUCGCACAAGCUAAUGAAUAAGGGGGUCGGCCGGAGACAGAGUCAUCGGGUGUCGAAGACAAACCAAAACAAAACCCUGCGUUUUUUUGUUUUUUUUUUUUUAAAGAUUUAUUUAUUUAUUUGAGAGAGCGAGAAAGUACGUGAGAGGGGGGAGGGUUAGAGGGAGAAGCAGGCUCCUCGCCGAGCAGGAAGCCCGAUGCGGGACUCGAUCCAGGGACUCCAGGAUCAUGACCUGAGCUGAAGGCAGUCGCUCAACCAACUGAGCCACCCAGGUGCCCCAAAACCCUGAGUUUUAACUAUAAACACACUCCACAGAAUUCUUAGAAUAGUUUAAAGUGCUAAUUUGGAAGGAAGUUUCCAAAGUACUUCCAAAAAGAUCUUGAGCAACAGAACCAUCUCCACCCACAAAAAUAACUGUCAUUUAUUGAGUGCUUACUAUCUGCCAGGCACUCUUCUUGACACACAUUCUAUCAAGAUUUUGUUUGCUCUCUGCAUGUCAGUGAUUAAUCCUGUUAGAGAAAUUAAAGGGCAGAAAAACGAGACUUUUUCUACAUCAGACAUCAGGGAUGGGCUGAGGGAAAGCCAGGCAGACUGGGAGUCUCUCUGUCUGCCCAAGGCCCCAUGUGGGCAAUUAUCCUUAAGUCUAUUAUACCCAUCUUAUAAGAAGAGAGGUUAGGUAACUGCCCAUGGUCAUAACCAGGUAAACAGUAGAACUGUACUUAUCUGCAUAGAGGUAUUUAUUGGGAAAUCUCUCCUCUCCAAAAAGUUAGCAUUCCUUUGAAUGAAUGCACUCUGAUAUAUUUGGGUUUUUUGAAAUUUAUCAUAAUACUCAAGCUUCUCUUAAUUGAUACAAAAACAGAACACUGCAACAGAUAUGCAGGAUCAAUGGAACCUGGGGCCUAAACCACUAGGAACAGGGCUUUGCAAAUGUACAGAAAUCCCCAAUGCCUAGGGGAACCAUUAUGAGACCCUUUCAAAUAGGAAGCAGAAAUGAGCCUCAUAAAAACCUGGAAAUGAGCAACAGAUAAUGGCAUUCAUAUCCAGAUACCAUUAUGCUUAUGUGGAGAAUUUAAGCUGGUGAUACAUAGAAUAAUUAUGUAUUAUAUUUAAUUAUAUAAAAACUGCCCAGCCUAGGUGUUUAAAAGCUGAGUUUAAACCUGGUUCUGGAAUCUGCUGACUGGGUAGUGAAUUAUCCUUCAGGGCCUCAGUAUCUUAGUCGCAAAGUGGGGAUGACCACAUCACCCUCUUUAUGGGGUCACACAAGAAUCAAAUACAUAUGUUAAGCUAUUCCAGUGGUGCCCAGCACACAGUAAGCACUUUAUAAAUGUUAGAUAUUAUUAGGGGCGCCUGGGUGACUCAGUGGGCUGUGUCUGACUCCUGCUCAGGUCAUGAUCUCAGGGUCCUGGGAUCGAGCCCCGUGUGGGGCUCCUUGCUCAACGGGGAGCCUGUUUCUCCCUUUCCCUCUGCCAUUCCCCCCACUUGUGCUCUCUGGCUCUCUCUGUCAAAUAAAUAAAAUCUUUAAAAAAAUUUUUUUAAAUGUUAGCUAUUAUUAAUAUUUAUGUACAAAUACAUUAAUUUUCUAAGGGUCAUUAUCUGAGAUAGAGCACAACAGGACAGAGACAUUCAUAUUCUACAAGUGUUCUUAGUCUUUGACAGUGGUGCUUUAAUUCAAUUAGACUACAUCAGGUAUGAGUUUUUUGAGCUUUAGGAGGAUUUUCCUUGCCAACAUUACACAGUGUCUGAAAUUAAUUAAAUGACAGUUGCUAAAGUGGAAAGUUUCCAGGAUCAUUUCUGUAUAAUCCCUCAAAAAAGAAUAAUUUGGCAUAGACUCCUUAUGAAGAUGAAUAAACACUUUUUUUUUCCUGUACAGAACUUUGUGAUCUUCAAAAUAUUUGCCUACAGUUUUAUUUUUAUGACAUGAGGCAGCCACAGUCUAAAUUUGCAGAUCAAUAGAAUAGAUGAUAAUGUUUUCCACCAUGGAAUGUUCUCAUAUCAUUAAGUCUGGACUUAUUAACAGCCCUAUUUACAAAUUAAUGGAGAGGGGAAUUUUCCCUGGUUUCCUAAUUUAGAAUGCUGAUUUCAUACAAAAUGAGAGAGACUAUGUGAUGGGGACCCUGGAGUACGUACCAACAGUGGGAAGUGUCUGCUUUUGCCCCCAGAGCCCUGCCUUUGCCCCUAUCUUACAAUGAGAAUGAGGCCAGGGAAUGUUCCGCUGGGGCUUUCUGUAAAUUGUAGCUAACUCAAUGGCCACCAGAAGUAGAACCCCAAAGGCGGAGCCUCACAGCCCCAAUGCAAAAAAAAUGGCAACUGGGUAUCAUUAACAUACUACAGUUUAUCCAGACGUUAAGUGUAUUACGGAUGAAAUAGGCUUUUGUCCAAUUACCUGGGAAGCCAACCACUAAAAUAGUCUUUUCUGUGGGACAAUGCCUGCCGAGUUCCAAAUAAUCAAUCUGCAAAUGAACUUCUGGAUGUAAGUGUUUAUAAAUUCAUGGUUAUUUGGUUUAAUUUGAAACCCUCUUGCAGCUCAUGCCAAUCAUGCAGCUUUUACUUGGUUACCUCUCCAGGAAAACCUGUGAAGACUAAACAGAAUUACUGAUGGUUUUAUUACUAUCUCAGAUUCUUUAUAUGUGAUCUAAAUAAAAUAUUUUUCAUCUGCCACAUAACUGACAGCUUUUCUAGUAAGACCAGAGAAAAUUCAUUAUACUGCACCUGUAUUAUUACAACGUUUCUUAUAUUUAAAAUUUUGCCUUUAUGGGCUUUAAAGAAUGAGUAUGUUAGUUAGCCUAACUUUACAUCAAUGUUUCUUUUCAUCUUAUUUUGAUCUUUGCCUCAAACACUCUGAUACCAUCCCAAUGUGAAAAUAUAUGUACCUCCAUUGGCCUUCCCCAAAAUACUCCUCUCCCUACAAAUCCUCCCAGAAUCUAUGCACUGGAUUAGGUUUUUCUGCAACUCUCAGUUACAGAGAUGCUGAAAGUAAUCUAAGGUGUUUGUAUAAAUGGGCGAUAGAAAAAUGGAAAUAGCACAAGAGCUGAUUAAAGCUAAAUUUAAAAUUAGAUGGGUUGCCUUGAUUAAUGGCAUAGCAACAGUGAUGACUGAUGGGUGGAGAACAUCCCAAUCCACACUAAUCUAGAUUCCGGAGCUCUGAGAGUGAAGGACUCUCAUCCCUACCUUAAAAUUAAUUUUUCAGAAAAAGCUCCCCCAGAGAAACAUUUAGAAAGACUAAACAAUUCUGGCAGCAUGAUCUACCUGAUAAGAGUAACUUUGUAAUUUUAACUUUUUCAAACCUAAUUCACUCUGUAGGAAGAGACAGCCAGUUACUGAACUAAGGCAGGGCCUCAGGUAAAGUACAAGUUCAUCUAAAUAGGGGAAUUAAGCACACAGAUCCUAAAAGUUUUAGAGAACACUGCAGGAUGCCCUGCUGCACCAUUCCAAAAAUCUACAUUUGUUCAGGUACACUGAUCAGGACAAGGAACAUUUGCACAUUUAUUGAAAGGAAAUUAAAUGGCAGGCGUCAUUAUGUGACUUGAAUGUUACAUUCUACACUUUACAUAGUAAUUUCCAAGACUUUAUAUUGGGGGGAAAAGAAAAAUAGAGAACUUACUAUCUUCCGUGGUUUUCUUAGGGCCAUACAAGGCAAAUCCUUCAUAAGAAGUGCCAAGCUUCUGACAGGACAGUGGUAGACUGAAUGAGAUGUCCAAUGAGAAAUUUUAUUUUUCAACUGUGAUACAUAGUUGUAAAUAACUUUUUAAAAAUUUGCUUCAUGUGUUAGCCUGGAGCAUCCUAUAGCGCUAGAGGGGGUUGGGGUGCAUAGAAAGAACACAGAAGCCAAUCUGAACGAGCUCCUGAUGGCCACGGCUGGAACCAUUUAAGUAAAACAUUAAAUUAGGAUAGUAUUGGAUUAUAACCCAAAGAAUAAAGUAAGUAUCUAUGAGACCAUAUUGCUAUAAAUAAAUGACUGGAUAAAUAAAUAAAAGGAGGAAAAGGCACAACUGUGCUUUACAGAAGAAUUCCAACUCAUGAUUGUAGGAUGAACGAAGGAAAUAGAAAACUCACCAUUACAGAACCACAGGAAUAAUUGCUACAGCCAGGAUUCCCUGGAGAAUGCUCAAGUUAGUGGGUGAAAGUGUAAGUCGCAUGGUUUCAAAAUAUCUUCCCCCAGGUGUUUCUUAAUUACAAAAAAAAAAAAAAAAAAAAAAAAAUCUCCAGCAGAGAAACUACCUUAACCAAGAAAGUU